UGCCUAAUACAUGCAAGUCGAACGAACUCUGGUAUUGAUUGGUGCUUGCAUCAUGAUUUACAUUUGAGUGAGUGGCGAACUGGUGAGUAACACGUGGGAAACCUGCCCAGAAGCGGGGGAUAACACCUGGAAACAGAUGCUAAUACCGCAUAACAACUUGGACCGCAUGGUCCGAGUUUGAAAGAUGGCUUCGGCUAUCACUUUUGGAUGGUCCCGCGGCGUAUUAGCUAGAUGGUGGGGUAACGGCUCACCAUGGCAAUGAUACGUAGCCGACCUGAGAGGGUAAUCGGCCACAUUGGGACUGAGACACGGCCCAAACUCCUACGGGAGGCAGCAGUAGGGAAUCUUCCACAAUGGACGAAAGUCUGAUGGAGCAACGCCGCGUGAGUGAAGAAGGGUUUCGGCUCGUAAAACUCUGUUGUUAAAGAAGAACAUAUCUGAGAGUAACUGUUCAGGUAUUGACGGUAUUUAACCAGAAAGCCACGGCUAACUACGUGCCAGCAGCCGCGGUAAUACGUAGGUGGCAAGCGUUGUCCGGAUUUAUUGGGCGUAAAGCGAGCGCAGGCGGUUUUUUAAGUCUGAUGUGAAAGCCUUCGGCUCAACCGAAGAAGUGCAUCGGAAACUGGGAAACUUGAGUGCAGAAGAGGACAGUGGAACUCCAUGUGUAGCGGUGAAAUGCGUAGAUAUAUGGAAGAACACCAGUGGCGAAGGCGGCUGUCUGGUCUGUAACUGACGCUGAGGCUCGAAAGUAUGGGUAGCAAACAGGAUUAGAUACCCUGGUAGUCCAUACCGUAAACGAUGAAUGCUAAGUGUUGGAGGGUUUCCGCCCUUCAGUGCUGCAGCUAACGCAUUAAGCAUUCCGCCUGGGGAGUACGGCCGCAAGGCUGAAACUCAAAGGAAUUGACGGGGGCCCGCACAAGCGGUGGAGCAUGUGGUUUAAUUCGAAGCUACGCGAAGAACCUUACCAGGUCUUGACAUACUAUGCAAAUCUAAGAGAUUAGACGUUCCCUUCGGGGACAUGGAUACAGGUGGUGCAUGGUUGUCGUCAGCUCGUGUCGUGAGAUGUUGGGUUAAGUCCCGCAACGAGCGCAACCCUUAUUAUCAGUUGCCAGCAUUAAGUUGGGCACUCUGGUGAGACUGCCGGUGACAAACCGGAGGAAGGUGGGGAUGACGUCAAAUCAUCAUGCCCCUUAUGACCUGGGCUACACACGUGCUACAAUGGAUGGUACAACGAGUUGCGAACUCGCGAGAGUAAGCUAAUCUCUUAAAGCCAUUCUCAGUUCGGAUUGUAGGCUGCAACUCGCCUACAUGAAGUCGGAAUCGCUAGUAAUCGCGGAUCAGCAUGCCGCGGUGAAUACGUUCCCGGGCCUUGUACACACCGCCCGUCACACCAUGAGAGUUUGUAACACCCAAAGUCGGUGGGGUAACCUUUUAGGAACCAGCCGCCUAAGGUGG
rnacentral:rRNA from 2 species